AACGAACGCUGGCGGCAGGCAUAACACAUGCAAGUCGAGCGCCCCGCAAGGGGAGCGGCAGACGGGUGAGUAACGCGUGGGAAUCUACCCAUCUCUACGGAAUAACGCAUGGAAACGUGUGCUAAUACCGUAUACGUCCUUCGGGAGAAAGAUUUAUCGGAGAUGGAUGAGCCCGCGUUGGAUUAGCUAGUUGGUGGGGAAAAGGCCUACCAAGGCGACGGUCCAUAGCUGGUCUGAGAGGAUGAUCAGCCACACUGGGACUGGGACACGGCCCAGACUCCUACGGGAGGCAGCAGUGGGGAAUAUUGGACAAUGGGCGCAAGCCUGAUCCAGCCAUGCCGCGUGAGUGAUGAAGGCCCUAGGGUUAUAAUGCUCUUUCACCGGUGAAGAUAAUGACGGUAACCGGAGAAAAAGCCCCGGCUAACUUCGUGCCAGCCGCCGCAGUAAAAC
rnacentral:rRNA from 1 species